rnacentral:rRNA from 1 species
CGUACGAUGUGAUUGAAGUGUGCCUUAAGCGUGCUUCCGAGCUACGCGUUAAUCGCCGCCUGGGAGUCGGCCGCAAGUUAAACUCAAAUAUGACGGGGGCCCGCACAAGCGGUGAGCAUGUGGUAUAUUCGAUCAACGCGAAGACCCUACCUGGUCUUACAUCCACAGAACUUUCCAGAGAUGGAUUGGUGCCUUCGGGAACUGUGAGACAGGUGCUGCAUGGCUGUCGUCAGCUCGUGUUGUAAAUGUUGGGUUAAGUCCCGCAACGAGCGCAACCCUUAUCCUUUGUUGCCAGCGGUCCGGCCGGGAACUCAAAGGAGACUGCCAGUGAUUAACUGGAGGAAGGUGGGGAUGACGUCAAGUCAUCAAGGCCCUUACGACCAGGGCUACACACGUGCUACAAUGGCGCAUACAAAGAGAAGCGACUGCGCGAGAGCAAGCGGACCAUCAUAAAGUGCGUCGUUAGUCCGGAUUGGAGUUCUGCAACUCGACUCCAUGAAGUCGGAAUCGCAAAUAAUCGUAGAUCAGAAUGCUACAAGUGAAUACGUUCCCGGGCCUUGUACACACCGCCCGUCACACCAUGGGAGUAGGUUGCAAAAGAAGUUAAGGUAGGCAUAACCUUCGGGAGGGGCGCUUACCACAAUGUGAGAUCAGUGACUGGGGUGAAGUUCGUAACAAGGUAACCUCAGUCAGUC